CCCUGUUCAUGUUCUGUCUCUCUCUGUCUCAAAAAUAAAUAAACGUUAAAAAAAAAAAAAGAUCAGGCAAUACAGCAAUAAUAGUUGAUCCCAAGAGUUCAACGACCUAACAUAGCAUAACCAAUGUGGGGUGACAGAGGGCCCCCCACGCAGUGAGAGUCUGAGCAGAGGGAGUCAUGCCAUCUCCUAACAGGAAAUGACAGAGCUGGACAGGUCGCUCACAGGUUUCAAAUCUUCAGCGCACAGCCCCAUUGGCCACGGGUGGUCACGUGGCCCUGCCUGCCGGCAAGGGGACCAGGAAAUGUGGGGGUGCACCUGCCUACUGGUUAUCCCUAAAUGUCUCUGUUGCGGAGAGUAGCUGUGAAGUCCAUACAACAAUAGGAUUAAAUUCUACCCAGAAGGCUGUGCUGUGAGCCAGAACAUGAGAAAAUAAAAGAAAUUAGCAAGCUUCAUAAGUAUGUGAAAGACGUUAGAGCAGCAAGCUGAGACUUUCUCCUGGAUCCCAACAAAAGGACGAGGAGAGCAGUGAGGAGGCAAUGAUCGGCUCACAAGGGGACCCAGUGUUAUGUAGGGUGUGUCCCUGUAACAGCAAACCAUCUUCGAGCAAAACCAAACCGUGGAAAGAGUUUCUUUGAAGCCAAAUAGAAACCCAGUGGGGAUGAAGGAUGUUUUAAGUAAGAUGAGAAUCGUCGGGCGUGCAACAGCGUCACUGUUGUGACAGAUGGUACUUUCCAAAGAAGAUGACACCGGCUCCGACAGUGUGACAAUGACAGACCUCUACAGAGAGGUGGAGGAGUUUCUAUUCCGUGUCCUUGAUUCUGAGUGGGCCCGUGAUUACGACAGAACUGAACCCCAUGACUUCUGAGGCAAUGUUAAGAAGGGGUGUUAACACCCCAGCAGCACCGAGCCCGCGUGGCCCCUAGAUCUUGGUUUCUAAUACCAUUCUCCAAAAAAAGGAACACGGCUCCUUGGAGAAAUGGCUGAUGCUGGCACCGGCGCAGGGAGUACACGCAACGAGCCUGGAACAUCUAGUGCGAAAAGGGCGCAGACCCCGGCUGCCUUGUACUGACACAAGUUCAGCUCCCUGGUGCCGUCCUGUUGAAGAGACCACUCAGACAGACCACACGGAUAGACAGAGAUGCCCAGCGAGCCACAGCCCUUGCUGCCCGGCUGAGUCCUCCCAGUUGUCAGUCUCCCCGGCCCAGGGGCCAGAUGUGUGCGAGGGGGCCUUUCAGAGGUCCCAGCUCCUGGCCUUCUCGCAGAUUCAGUGGACACCGAGUGGAACAUAGACAAGCCAGCCCCACUGAGCUGUGCUCAAAUUGCAGAGUCAUGCACAAAAUAAGCAUUUUAUGAAGUCCCUAAACACCGUGAUGGCUCGUCACGCGGCAUCACUUAAAUGGAACAACCGGUCCGCGACUUCGACUUUGGUUAUUGAUCAAUUUCCUCUCCACAUCUGUCUUUAGCUCCGCUAGGGGCUGGGCAGUGGACACAGAGAUCCCCAAGAGCUGCUGGUGAUCCACAAGUCCCUGCUCUUGAAGAACUCUCGGUUGAGUGGAAGAAGCUAAGCCCCACGAGAGUAAAAACGAAUGACAACCACACUGGAUCGUAGCGAACGGGUGAAGGCAGGACUUCAGAGGUGCAGAGAACAGGAUGCAUGACUCUGAGGGAUCCCAGAGGGGAGAGACACGGGGAGAAAGAACAGCGUUUAUUGAGCACCUAAUAUGCUUCACUGUUCUAAGUGGGGUACAAUAUGUAUAUGAAUUCAUCCUCCCAGUUGACACCAUGAUGUCUUUAUAACCACGUUAGAGAGGAGGAAACUGAGGCACAGAGAUAUGAAGGGAUUCGUCAGGGCCCCACCAAGUGGCAGAGAGAGAUGUGAAGGUCCUCUCGGUUUUCCUAUCUAUGAUACGAAGGUAUUGGAUAAGACGCACACGAAGGGUCUUUGUGCCUCCAAGGCUUAGGUUACGUGUGGGUUUUGCCUGCCCGGCGUCUGUUCCCCUUCUUCCAGUAACAGAACCCCAGCUUCUAUGAGCAGAACUGCCCCACCUCUACUCUCAGUCAGGAAGGGAAGCACACCCAGCCUCGGCCAGUCGCAAUAUCACAUCCACCUUACGCGGUGAUGGGCUCGGGCAAAAAGCACAGAGACUCCAGCCAGACGAAAGAGAGUCUUCUGAGGGCCUUUUGCCAGAAUUCUUAGGAAAGAGGCACUCUGUUUUCCCUGGAGUUGCCAAGGAUGUGAAUUUGGAGCUGUCAGGGGCUGUCAUAAGACGAAAGUCUGCCUGGAAGUAAAACCAGUUCAGAGGAAGAGGGAGGCCGAGCACUGAUGCCAAGAUCGUCCGAGCACCUAGGUCCAGCCUUGCCUGAAGCCGGAGAGAUGAAUCCUUGGAAUUUUCUGUUGCAUGAGUCAAUAAAUGUGAUCCUUUGAA